rnacentral:rRNA from 1 species
CUGAAUAGGGCGCAUAAGUAACAGGUCGUAGACCCGAAACCAGGUGAUCUACCCAUGUCCAGGAUGAAGGUAAGGUAAUACUUACUGGAGGUCCGAACCCACGCACGUUGAAAAGUGCGGGGAUGAGGUGUGGGUAGCGGAGAAAUUCCAAUCGAACUUGGAGAUAGCUGGUUCUCUCCGAAAUAGCUUUAGGGCUAGCCUCGAGGUAAAGAGUCAUGGAGGUAGAGCACUGUUUGGACUAGGGGCCCUUCUCGGGUUACCGAAUUCAGAUAAACUCCGAAUGCCAUGUACUUAUACUCGGGAGUCAGACUGCGAGUGAUAAGAUCCGUAGUCGAAAGGGAAACAGCCCAGACCACCAGUUAAGGUCCCCAAAUAUAUGUUAAGUGGAAAAGGAUGUGGGGUUGCUUAGACAACCAGGAUGUUGGCUUAGAAGCAGCCACCAUUGAAAGAGUGCGUAAUAGCUCACUGGUCGAGUGACCCCGCGCCGAAAAUGUACCGGGGCUAAACAUAUUACCGAAACUGUGGAUGAACCUCUUUAGAGGUUCGUGGUAGGAGAGCGUUCUAAGGGCGGUGAAGUCAGACCGGAAGGACUGGUGGAGCGCUUAGAAG